GACGUUGGCUCAGCGGCCAUCUUCCUCACCAAAAAAAAAAAAAAAUCAACAGCAGAUAUUAAUCCAUGUUGGAUAUAAGUAGCAUUUUACAUUAGACCAAACUAUUUGGGAUCCUUCAUUGUUUGCGAAGACUCAAUUAGAGAAAUUCCCUGAAGUUUUUUUAGUUCUCCUCCUUUUCAACACACAUCCUCAAACCUUUCUUCAAAAUGACCAAUUUUUCUUCCCUAAUGCCUACUUCUACCUACUUUGUUGCAAUUGUCAUGCAUUAGGAAAGGGCUCUUGUGUUUUUAUUAUAAUAUAGCGUGUGAUGGUUUUGCCUCCUCUCUUCUGCUGCUCUGGGGUGCUCUUCUGGCUGGGGCCUAACGCAAAAUAAACAUCACCUUGGCCGGACAUUUCAUGUUCUCCAGCUGUGCUCUUCAUUGGGAGUCUUUUGGGCACCUUUAAUAUUACAAGCAUGAGAUUUGUUUGUAGGAGACCCUUUUUAUACUGAAAUGAAGGAUGAGGAUUUUACUAAGAAAUCUUUAACGACAUUGAAAAACUGUUAUAUCAUGAGAUGACCUACAUUUUUGUUUUAGCAUUUGAUAUAUGGAACUUCUCAUAUCUUUCAAAGCUUCGUCCAUUUCUAAUAACCCUUGACUGUGAGAAUAUUUAAAAAGUUAAAAAUUCUUUUUUUUCAGCAGUAUUUGAUAAUAAAAAUCUCAUGACUGAAUGCCAUCUUCUUGAUUCACCAUGCCCUGGGUGCAGUGAUCCCUUCACGCAGGUGGAGGAGAGGUGACAGGAGCAUGCCAGACACGCUUCCUUUGGUGGGGGCUUAAUUUCCUUUUCACCUCGAGUGCCUCCUAAUGGAAAUCAACCAGAAGAACUAUGAAUUACAAAAAGCAAAACGUUUUUUUCAUAAUCUCCAUGCUGCAGUGUAUUCUUCGAAUACUGAAAAGUUAAAAAAUAUGGAUUAAUGUUCAUGUAUAUAGUGUUAUCUAAUGUCCUAAUAGUUAAUAUUUACUAUCGUGUGUUUUAGAUAUGAUACUGUUUUUUCAGGGGAAGUGGGGAUAUUUUUUACUUUAUGCAGAAUAAAAAUGCACUGUGCCUA